UGAGUUGUGCUUAAAGUGGCUUGAUUCUUGGAGUAACACAAUGGUGAUAAUCAUUCAUGUAUGCUAAUACAAUCAUUGCUUAUUGAUUAGUCUCCACCAUAAGCAGAUUUGUAAACACCAAAUUUUGAAGCCUCUGUCCUUAAUGAAGCCAUAGUCUAUGAUUGAAUUGAGUCGCACCCAAGAUGAAGAAGUUGGAGAUGGGACAACAUCAGUCAUCAUUCUUGUUAUAUGCCGAGCUUAUAACAAAGCUUUGGAGGAUGCCAUUAUUGUCCUUUGAUAAAAUUGCUAUGCCCAUUGAUGCCAAAGAUCGAGGUAUUGGAGAUAGUCAACAGCUGCAUAGGUACCAAAUUCACUAGUCAAUUUGGGGAUUUAGUUGCUGUGAGUAUCCUCUACCCCAUGGUCAAGAUUUUUAAAUUUCAAAUUUGUCUUUGUUCUUUUAUCUUUAUUUUGAGUUGUGAAAAUUCACUACAUGAGGGCCCCACCUACUUGGGGUUGGGA